rnacentral:rRNA from 1 species
CAAAGAACUUUGAAGAGAGAGUUCAACAGGGCGUGAAACCGCUUAGAAGUAAACGGGUGGUGCUGCCAUUACGUUUGUCCGGAUUCAGCCCUCUCAAAGGUGGAACGUCGAAGUGGUGAUCGCAAGACAUCAUUUUGGCUGACAUUUUCUGCACAGAGAGGGUGCACUUUCGGCAAACUGCGUCACGACCGGCGACCUGCUCGGCAUAAGACUGGCUGGUUGAAGACAGUGAGGCUUCGGCUUUGCUGUGACUCGCUUACCAGUUCGGACCCGGUUUAGGUCGUCGGGAAUUGUCCGCGCCCGCUUUGCUCAGUAUGUGCUGUAUUAUAAGCGGUGAUGUGGUUCUGUGCUUGCACGGUCCUGUGUUGCUAGUUUGUAACUGUAGCGCAUGCUGAGUGGCGCACAUGGUCAGUGGCGUCCGCGUCAGCCUCCCACCCGACCCGUCUUGAAACACGGACCAAGGAGUCUAACAUGUGCGCAAGUCAUUGGGUCGUGAAACCCAAAGGCGUAAUGAAAGUAAAGAUCGGUUCUGGCUGAUCUAGGUGAGAUUCUGGCUGUUUCGGUCAGACGCAUCACUGUCCCAUCGCAUCGGCUUGCCCGGGCGGUGGAGAAAGAGCGUACAUGUUGGGACCCGACAGAUGGUGAACUAUGCCUGAGCAGGAUGAAGCCAGAGGAAACUCUGGUGGAGGUCCGUAGCGGUUCUGACGUGCAAAUCGAUCGUCAGACUUGGGUAUAGGGGCGAGAGACUAAUCGAACCAUCUAG